rnacentral:rRNA from 1 species
UACGUAGGUGGCAAGCGUUGUCCGGAUUUACUGGGCGUAAAGAGCGCGCAGGCGGUCGUUCAAGUCGCGUGUGAAAGCCCCGACUCAACUGGGAGGGUCAUUCGAUACUGAUCGACUUGAAGGCAGGAGAGGGUAUGGAAUUCCCGGUGUAGUGGUGAAAUGCGUAGAUAUCGGGAGGAACACCAGUGGCGAAGGCGACUACCUGCCUGUUCUUGACGCUGAGGCGCGGAAAGCUGGGGGAGCGAACGGG